rnacentral:rRNA from 1 species
GUCUAUGGCCAGAUCACCCUGAGAAUGCCUGAUCUCAGAAGCUUAGCUUGGUUGAGCCCAGUUAGUAUUUAGAUGGGAGACUGCCUAGAAAUACUGGGUGUUAUAGGUU